rnacentral:rRNA from 1 species
GACGAACGCUGGCGGCGUGCCUAAUACAUGCAAGUAGAACGCACAGUUUAUACCGUAGCUUGCUACACCAUAGACUGUGAGUUGCGAUCGGGUGAGUAACGCGUAGGUAACCUGCCUGGUAGCGGGGGAUAACUAUUGGAAACGAUAGCUAAUACCGCAUAAUAUUAAUUAUUGCAUGAUAAUUAAUUGAAAGGUGCAAUUGCACCACUACCAGAUGGACCUGCGUUGUAUUAGCUAGUAGGUGAGGUAACGGCUCACCUAGGCGACGAUACAUAGCCGACCUGAGAGGGUGAUCGGCCACACUGGGACUGAGACACGGCCCAGACUCCUACGGGAGGCAGCAGUAGGGAAUCUUCGGCAAUGGACGAAAGUCUGACCGAGCAACGCCGCGUGAGUGAAGAAGGUUUUCGGAUCGUAAAGCUCUGUUGUAAGAGAAGAACGGGUGUGAGAGUGGAAAGUUCACACUGUGACGGUAGCUUACCAGAAAGGGACGGCUAACUACGUG